GAUUACUUUUAUGCCUUUUAGAAUUUGUCUAGAAGGCUUUCUGGUUUUUACUGGAAAGCCCUC
ensembl:snRNA U7 U7 small nuclear RNA